UACGAAGGGGGCUAGCGUUGUUCGGAAUUACUGGGCGUAAAGGGCGCGCAGGCGGUCGUUCAAGUCAGGCGUGAAAGCCCCGGGCUCAACCUGGGAACAGCGCUUGAGACUGAGCGACUUGAGUUCGGGAGAGGAGAGCGGAAUUCCCAGUGUAGAGGUGAAAUUCGUAGAUAUUGGGAAGAACACCGGUGGCGAAGGCGGCUCUCUGGACCGACACUGACGCUGAGGCGCGAAAGCGUGGGGAGCAAACAGG
rnacentral:rRNA from 1 species